CCUACGGGAGGCAGCAGUGAGGAAUAUUGGUCAAUGGGCGGGAGCCUGAACCAGCCAAGCCGCGUGAGGGAAGAAGGUACAGCGUAUCGUAAACCUCUUUUGUCAGGGAACAAAGGCGGGGACUAGUCCCCGGAUGAGGGUACCUGAAGAAAAAGCAUCGGCUAACUCCGUGCCAGCAGCCGCGGUAAUACGGAGGAUGCGAGCGUUAUCCGGAUUUAUUGGGUUUAAAGGGUGCGCAGGCGGUCUGUUAAGUCAGCGGUCAAAGCCCGGGGCUCAACCCCGGCCCGCCGUUGAAACUGGCAGUCUCGAGUUGGAGAGAAGUAUGCGGAAUGCGCGGUGUAGCGGUGAAAUGCAUAGAUAUCGCGCAGAACUCCGAUUGCGAAGGCAGCAUGCCGGCUCCACACUGACGCUGAGGCACGAAAGCGUGGGUAUCGAACAGGAUUAGAUACCCCAGUAGUC
rnacentral:rRNA from 1 species